rnacentral:misc_RNA from 1 species
UUUUUAAUUAAAAGUGACUGUAGCUACGCCUUCUCUCAUUUCUCUUGAGGUCUUGUCGUUCGGCGUUUUUACUUGGAACGCAAUCCCUGUCCAAUUUCCGCCGUCGUAAUUCCAUCGCUGGUGAGCACUUUAGGAGAAGAAUACGAUUCUUGCCGACUUAAGUUCGGACGUUCAGUAUCUUGCUCUGCUGUACUUUCCAAUUGUACGACACCCGCUUGCUGUCUCUGGCUUUUGCAGUUAUACUUCCAUAACUGAUCAACACAAGUACAAGAACAAGUAGAGGCCAACCAGUUGAUGAAAAGCUGUCAACCCUUCAUCUUCUUUGGAGAUAUUAGUUCGGGGGCCAGAAGGAUUCUGUGUCUGGAAUGGGCCGCCAUUUGGCAAUGGUGAACCUAGUAUCAAGUUUGAGAGGGUUCCCUGUAGCAAUGCAACUUUCACUGAAGAUGGGUCCAAACUCAUGGUGAUGAAAUCUGAAUCUGUCAUUAGCAUAUAUGAUUGCAGCAGCUUUAAGGAAAUAAGAUCUUUCCAAGUCUCCAAUGUUCUUGCUGCUGUAUUGUCCCCUUGUGGGACUUACCUUCAGACAUUUCAGAAAUCGUUGACGCCACAGGAUAGGAAUGUGGUCUUGUGGAAGACAGAGAACGGUGAAGCUGUAUAUCAUCAAUUUCAAAAGAACAUGACCAAAACUACAUGGCCUUCAAUCAGAUUCAGUUCUGAUGAAGCUGUUGCUUGCCGGAUGGGAACAAAUGAGAUACAAUUUUUUGAUCCUAGAGAUUUCUCCAACGGAAUCAUACAUCGAUUAAGAGUUCCUGGGGUGGCUGCAAUUGAGCUUUCAAUAGUUCCAGGGUCUCAUGUGGCAGCAUUUGUUCCAGAGUCUAAGGGAAGUCCAGCCAG